rnacentral:lncRNA from 1 species
CCGAAGCUUUUUGGGGCUCUGGCGGAUGCUUCUCUUACCCAAAAGAAAGCGUGUGUGCUAAACCGCCCAUGGAGAAGGAAUAGGUGAUGGAGAAGGAGAUGGAAGAUGAGGAGGAAAAAUUAUCUGUUGCUCCUGUCCCCAUUUUGCUGAUGUGGAAACUAAGCCUUGAAAGAGGCCUACAGCGACAGCGUCCAAGUGGAAAUCGUAGUAAAAGCCAGAAAUGCAAGGGAAAGUGCCCAAAGCAGAGAAUGUGUCUUCUCCAAGCCUCAAGAACCAGAUGGAGGACGGUUAUGGCUCCUGCUGGCUAG